UAAUUUCUUUUUAUUUUAUUUUAUUUCAUUUUAUUCUUUAUAUUUCCAAAUUAAUUUCUCUCUCAUUUUUAAACAUUUUUAUCUCAAUUUUUUACACAAGGUCUCUAACAUUAUUUUGCAUCACAUACAUUUUUCUCCCAAAUUUUUAAAUCAUUUUUGUAUUUAUUAAUAUUUUUAUUUCAUUUCGCAUUUUUUUUUAUCAUUUUCAAACAUUUUUGCAUGCAACUUUUGAGAUCUA
rnacentral:lncRNA from 1 species